UACGGAGGGUGCAAGCGUUAUCCGGAUUUACUGGGUUUAAAGGGUGCGUAGGUGGGUCUGUAAGUCAGUGGUGAAAUCUCCGAGCUUAACUCGGAAACUGCCAUUGAUACUAUAGAUCUUGAAUUAUCUGGAGGUAAGCGGAAUAUGUCAUGUAGCGGUGAAAUGCUUAGAUAUGACAUAGAACACCAAUUGCGAAGGCAGCUGGCUACACGAAUAUUGACACUGAUGCACGAAAGCGUGGGGAUCAAACAGG
rnacentral:rRNA from 1 species